CAGUAGGGAAUCUUCCACAAUGGGCGCAAGCCUGAUGGAGCAACACCGCGUGAGUGAAGAAGGGUUUCGGCUCGUAAAGCUCUGUUGUUAAAGAAGAACACGUAUGAGAGUAACUGUUCAUACGUUGACGGUAUUUAACCAGAAAGUCACGGCUAACUACGUGCCCG
rnacentral:rRNA from 1 species